AAUUGUUUCUCUUCAAAUACAGGGGGCAUCUUCCAGCACUGAGAUUCUGUUUCUGGCCUGUCUACUUUUGGAUGAGGUGUGGAAGAGGCUAGUGUUCUUAUCAUCUAGGGUGAGCCAGAGGAGCCUGUUGCGUUGCUUCCAGUAUUCUUCAUCUGCCUUAUAGACAGUGAGAGAUUGUUGAUUUAACCAAGAGAUGACUCGUCAUCAGGUAAACGUGCUGAUAGGACUGCAUCCAAAGAGUCCUUUAGUUGGACAAUAAGUUUCCUGCUAUUGACAUAGAAUUUCUUGCUCAAUAUAGAUAUUGCUUGUCUACAACGUGUGAUUUUAUCGGCAACUGAGCAGGCGGAAGAGGUAUUCCAAAUCUCUUUAACUAGCUGUGUGAUCUCAGGAUUGUCAAAUAGUCUCCUAUCGUAUUGGAACAGGCGUACUGACUUCUUUUUCUUUGAAUCCAGGGUGGAAAUGAUAGGGCGAUGGUCAGAUGCUUCAAAUAUAAGGCAGUGGGAGCAGGCUCUUGGAAGGAAAUCUGACCAGGCAUUGUUGGCUAUGGUUCUGUCGAAGCGGCAGUGGACUAAAUGGGAGUGUUUCUGGCCUCUCCAAGAGAUGAAAUUGCAUGUAUGCUUUAUGUAGAAGAGAUUGCAAAACGACAGAAAAGCCCUAAAGGCUGCGAAGGAACUUUCAGGUCUCUCUUUACCUCCUGAUUUCUCUGAGUUGCCAAAAAUUUCAUUGAAGUCUCCCGUUAAAAAAAACAAAGAGUAUCCCUAAAUAGGGACAUAUUAAUUAACUGAUUCCAGACUUCUUGGCGUUUUGGGAUUUCAGGUGCUCCAUAGAUGAAUGUGUUGUUGAAAGAUGAUCCCUUGAAGAAGAUGUGUGUGUCUAUAAGAUUUUGAUUCGCUGAGAGAAUUUGCAAGUAAGUGUCUGACUUCCAGAAUAAACCUAAACCCCCAGGCUGGUGAUAGAGGACUGAAGAGGAAGUUCCUAUCAAAACUUAGCGGUGUUAAUUCUUCGAAGACAAAAUCAUCCUGAUUUUUGGUUUCAGAGAGAAAGAGGAUGUCAGGGACGCAUUGUUUGAUUAGUUCUUUGACCCGCAGAACUGUCAUGGGGUCUCCAAGACCACAACAAUUCCAGCUCAAGAUGACUAAGAGAGAGGAUGGUGGUGUGACCGAAAAUCCGAAGUGGAUCUUCAAGAAGCUGUCGCUACAAGUAGCGGAGGGAGAAAAAGAAACUCCACCUAAACACUCUAAAAUUACUUGAAACUUUAAAGCUUCACCACUUAAAAUAAUUUCAAUAAUAGUGGAUUUCAGAGUACUUUGUGAAAUGUCAAAUUCAACAACAAUAGAUUUUAAAUGUAUUUUUAAAAUUUAUGUUUGAAUAAGAGUGGAUAUGUCAUUUUACUAGAAAUCACCUAAUAAUCUUGGUUGAAUAGACCCCUUAAAAUACCAUGUUGGACAUAUGUAUCACUAUUGGGUGUAUUCAUAUUUAUCCUUUAAAAAAUAAAGAGAGUGAUUGGUUGGGCUGUAACCAUAGAAAAUUUACUUUAGAAUUGAGUCUGUAGGAUUUUUGAUUUAACUUUAAGGGAUGUAGCUUUAAAAUUUCUUACAGCUAAAAAGAUAAGGCUUUACAAAAUAAAAUUUUUAUAAUAAUUUUUUGUGUGUUUUUGCUGUAGCUUUAGUUUUUUUGUUGUACCUUUAAAAACCAAGAUAAAGUAUGAUUGGUAGUAUUUAAGGUUGUAGAUGAAAAUUAAACAUAAAGUCACUUCCUACAGCCUAACCAAUCACCCCCAAAGAAUACUCUAAUUUAUUAUACUAUAGUGUUUCAAUAAAACAUUGAAAACAUAACAAUACUAAUAAUUAAACAACUGUUAACAUGUAUCUAAUUAGUAAUAAAUUCUUUAACUUGUAUAUUGUCAAGAUAUUCUAUUGAUGUUAUAAUUGUUAACUAAAGUGAAUGUAAAAAUAUUUUAAAAAAAUGGUGAAAUGUAUUUAUUCUAAAAUUGUAUUCAUUAAAUAUUACAAUUU